GUAGGAGCAGCACCAUUGGGUGCCCCAGGUGUUCUGGUGAGGGAUUGGCCCUGGAUUCAGAGGGAGAACCCAGCCCCAGGGGCAGCGUUUCAACCCCGGCCCUCGCCCAGCGCAGCCUCGCCCCUGCGUGUGUGCACUCACCACUUGUCCAGGCUCGACUGGGGCAGCGUUACCUGCUGGGGCCAUCUCUAGCUGCCCCCACUGUGACACAAUGCCUGUGAUGUCACAACAGCCAGAUCACAUCACAGCCAGGACAGCCCCGUCCUUCGUCUCCACUCCAGCUCAUCGAUUUAUAAUGGCCCCAGGCAACCAAAUUGGUGACACCCACAAAAUACAGACCGAACUGGGAGGUCAACAAACACAUUUCCUCUGGAAGUCAGAGCCGAGGCAGCUGAAGAGUCCAUGGCAAAGAGCCUGGAACCAGAGAUUCCCAUUACAAUCUGUACACUGACUGCACACCCUUUUUGAGGGGGUCCAGCCUGUCUGUGAGCUUCACUCAGUGCAAAAAUGCCAAUAAAUAGUGUAUUUGAGCAAA